AGUCGAACGGUAGCACAGAGAGCUUGCUCUCGGGUGACGAGUGGCGGACGGGUGAGUAAUGUCUGGGAAACUGCCCGAUGGAGGGGGAUAACUACUGGAAACGGUAGCUAAUACCGCAUAACGUCGCAAGACCAAAGUGGGGGACCUUCGGGCCUCACACCAUCGGAUGUGCCCAGAUGGGAUUAGCUAGUAGGUGGGGUAAUGGCUCACCUAGGCGACGAUCCCUAGCUGGUCUGAGAGGAUGACCAGCCACACUGGAACUGAGACACGGUCCAGACUCCUACGGGAGGCAGCAGUGGGGAAUAUUGCACAAUGGGCGCAAGCCUGAUGCAGCCAUGCCGCGUGUAUGAAGAAGGCCUUCGGGUUGUAAAGUACUUUCAGCGGGGAGGAAGGCGGUGGAGUUAAUAACUUCACCGAUUGACGUUACCCGCAGAAGAAGCACCGGCUAACUCCGUGCCAGCAGCCGCGGUAAUACGGAGGGUGCAAGCGUUAAUCGGAAUUACUGGGCGUAAAGCGCACGCAGGCGGUCUGUCAAGUCGGAUGUGAAAUCCCCGGGCUUAACCUGGGAACUGCAUUCGAAACUGGCAGGCUAGAGUCUUGUAGAGGGGGGUAGAAUUCCAGGUGUAGCGGUGAAAUGCGUAGAGAUCUGGAGGAAUACCGG
rnacentral:rRNA from 1 species